AGUGAACGCUGGCGGUAGGCCUAACACAUGCAAGUCGAACGGCAGCACAGUAAGAGCUUGCUCUUACGGGUGGCGAGUGGCGGACGGGUGAGGAAUACAGCGGAAUCUACUUUUUCGUGGGGGAUAACGUAGGGAAACUUACGCUAAUACCGCAUACGACCUACGGGUGAAAGCAGGGGAUCUUCGGACCUUGCGCGAUUGAAUGAGCCGAUGUCGGAUUAGCUAGUUGGCGGGGUAAAGGCCCACCAAGGCGACGAUCCGUAGCUGGUCUGAGAGGAUGAUCAGCCACACUGGAACUGAGACACGGUCCAGACUCCUACGGGAGGCAGCAGUGGGGAAUAUUGGACAAAGGGCGCAAGCCUGAUCCAGCCAUACCGCGUGGGUGAAGAAGGCCUUCGGGUUGUAAAGCCCUUUUGUUGGGAAAGAAAAGCAGCAGGUUAAUACCCCGCUGUUCUGACGGUACCCAAAGAAUAAGCACCGGCUAACUUCGUG
rnacentral:rRNA from 1 species